UACUGAGACACCUGUGAACACUGAGCAGUGGUUGAAGUCCAAGACAGUGAAAUCAUCUUUAUUAUACUUCUGACUGAACUAGCAAGGAGCAUUAGAGACAAUGAGAAAAACUCAAAAGAAGAUACUUUGAAGAAUGCUGGUAAUCAAACCCAACAAGUUUGUCAGGUGCAGAAAUAAAAGCUCCCAAACAAAGAUGUCACCGGAUUAAGAUGUGGAAAAACCAUAAAUCCUGAGUAAUUUGAAUAUGGUCAACAACCGAAGAAAAGUACCCAUUGUUUUAGUCAGAAAUGAUUCAUGGUAAUAGUAAUAGUAAAUGAUUAGAUAAAUAAAUAAAAAGUACAAAAUGGUGUUAAUUUUAAAACUCUGUCAUUUACUAAUGGGUUAUUCAAAACACUAAGUUUUGGUGUAUCUUUACAAUAAGGUAUCAUUAGUUAACAUUAAUAAAUGUUGAAAUUAACAUUAAAUAACGAGCAAUA